rnacentral:lncRNA from 1 species
GGGCAAUUGAGGUGAAGAGAAAAUGUUAACCAAGUUCGAAACCAAGAGUAAUCGAGUGAAGGGGUUGAGCUUUCAUAGCAAGCGACCAUGGAUCUUGGCCAGUCUUCAUAGUGGUGUGAUCCAGCUAUGGGACUAUCGUAUGGGCACUCUCAUUGAUCGGUUUGACGAGCACGAUGGCCCCGUGCGUGGCGUCCAUUUCCAUAAAUCUCAACCUCUCUUUGUCUCCGGAGGUAUUGGUUUUAUUCCCAUUUGUAUUUUAAUUGAGUUUUUGGGGAUCGAAAUAUGAUCUAUGUUUGGUUAAUUUUAGUUUGUACUUGGAUCUAAUUGACGAAUCAGCUCUUACUUAGUUUGGAAUUUACGAUUUAUGAUUCGGGAGUUUUUGUUUUUGAGCGGUAAAUGUUUGAUUUGUUCUAUUCGUUACGUGAUUGCAGUUUGUUUAUUUAGCCUUGUACUAAUGUAGAUUAGGGAGAUGGAUUUAAAUGUGGGUUGUCUUUCAAUUUUAAUGGAUUAUGAUUUCAAUUGUGUGCAUCAGCAUUAGGGGAAUUGGAUAUGUCGGUUGCAUUUUGUUGUUUUCUGUUGUGAAUAAGCUAUAUUAUUUCCUUUCUAAUUAGUAGCGAUCUGAUGGGAUAGUUGCGAUGUGUGCCACUUUUUACGUGAUUUCAGUUUGUUUAUUUGGACUUGUAAAAAUUUGGAUUAGGGAGCUGGAUUGAAUGAGUUGUUUGUCUCUCAUUGUUAAAGUAUUCAACCCUAUGCAUCAGCAUUAGGGGGAUUGACAUAUGUUGGUUGCAAUUUGUUGUUUUCCCUUGUAAAUAAGUGAUUUUUUCCUUUUGGGUUAGUGGUCAUCUGGUGGGAUAGUUUAGAAAGCAAAGAUUGGAUCUGUUGUGCUAUUCUGGUUCUACUGUUGGACUUUCCAAAAGAGGUGGAUCCAAAUCCCCAAGCUCCAAUACAUAUUGAACAUCUGCUUUUGGUUUUCAGCAGGCCUUUGAGCUAAUGAACUUUUUCUGUUGUGGAAACUUGAUGAGGGUGGAAGCUUGAUAUCCUCCUCAGUAAAGGAGGUUAUCCUCCCUUCCAUGUUGUUUUCCCAUUGUCAGAAAUCAUGAUACAGAACCUUUUUUUUUUCAGGAGAUGAUUAUAAGAUCAAGGUUUGGAAUUACAAGCUGCAUAGGUGUUUGUUUACCCUGCUUGGGCAUCUUGAUUACAUUCGUACUGUUCAAUUUCACCACGAGUAUCCAUGGAUUGUUAGUGCAAGUGAUGAUCAAACAAUCAGAAUAUGGAACUGGCAGUCUCGAACUUGUAUCUCUGUUUUGACUGGGCACAACCACUAUGUGAUGUGUGCCUCAUUCCAUCCCAAGGAGGACUUAGUUGUGUCUGCUUCUUUGGAUCAGACCGUUCGAGUGUGGGAUAUUGGUGCCCUGAGGAAGAAAACAGUGUCCCCUGCUGAUGACAUCCUCAGAUUGAGUCAGAUGAACACAGAUUUCUUCGGUGGUGUCGAUGCAGUUGUAAAGUAUGUCCUAGAGGGUCAUGAUCGAGGAGUGAACUGGGCUUCAUUCCAUCCCACUCUCCCUUUGAUUGUCUCUGGUGCUGAUGAUCGCCAAGUUAAAAUCUGGCGAAUGAAUGGUAUGAAACUAUUCUUCCCCCUGGCCCCCCAAAUUAGAAUUUUCUUGUCGCUUAGACUGAAAACUUUUUUUUUCUCUAUUUCUAGUUUCUUGGUGUUGUAGUUAGCGUACAUUUUUAGGUUGAAAAAUCAUAUUUUGUACAUAGGUGGGUUACAAGUGUUGCAGAUUGCUAGUUUUUAGACUACACAAAUUGAAUAUCCCUGUCUUUCUUUGUCCUUUUAGUAUUUUCCUUCCAUUCAAGAAACUAUGGCAUGUGUAGGAAUUGCUACUGAACUGUUUUAGAAGCUUUGUUGCGUGAAAAUUUAGCUUACUACUCUUGAUAAGCCUUUUAAGUUGUGCAGGCGGUCUCUAUCAAAUUUAAAAUAAACAAAGAAGUGUUUAGAUGUUAUGUAAGCUAAUGGCAUAUUCAUCAGAACCUGCGGUAGCAGCAUUCUUUUUCUAAUAUCCUGUGGGUGGGCAUAGUCUUUUUAAUAAUUAGGUUUAUGUGGAGGUGACUUCAGUUUUUCUUUGUUUGACUUUCAAAAGGUUGCUGCAUAGUCCUUUUUUUUUUUAAAUAUUUUGAUUCUUUUCAAAUGGGUUUCCAAAGGAGGGUCUUCUUUCAAUAUGUUGGAUACAUUGUCUCACACCUGACUAGGUCCCUUAUUAUUCUACUCAUUAAAUGCUUCCCCUUCAUGCACUUAUUUUGUUUAUUUUGUAGAAAUAAAAACAUUGAGGAAAUUAAUUUUGUGUUGCAUUUGCUUUUGUGCUGUAGAAAACUGGCCCAGUGGAAGAUCAAUGGUCUUUUUAAAGUAUAGUUUCUUCCCCAACCACCCCCCCCCACCACCAAAAAAAAAAACAUAGAAAUGUGACCACCUAGCUGAAAAUUUUGUUUCCAGCAUUUCUGCUGUUACAUUUUUAAUUAUUUCUCUUCAUCUUGGAAGCAAAAGCCCUAAUUAUUAUGAGAUUCUCAAUUAUUUUUCUGCAGACACAAAAGCUUGGGAAGUUGACACAUUGAGAGGGCAUAUGAACAAUGUGUCAUGUGUUCUAUUCCAUGCAAGACAGGACAUUAUUGUCUCAAAUUCAGAAGAUAAGAGCAUACGAGUGUGGGAUGCUACAAAGAGAACAGGUCUUCAGACUUUCAGAAGGGAACAUGACCGAUUCUGGAUCCUUGCGGCUCACCCUGAGAUGAAUCUUCUAGCUGCCGGUCAUGACAGUGGCAUGAUUGUAUUCAAACUGGAGAGGGAACGCCCUGCAUUUUCUGUGAGUGGUGAUUCUCUGCUUUAUGUGAAAGAUCGCUUCCUGCGCAUUUUUGAGUACUCAACUCAGAAGGAUACUCAGUUGAUACCAAUUAGGAGGCCUGGUUCUAACAGCUUAAAUCAAGGCCCCCGCACUCUUUCCUACAGCCCUACUGAAAAUGCUGCUUUAAUAUGUUCAGACAUGGAUGGAGGUUCUUAUGAGCUCUAUAUUGUACCGAAAGACAACUAUGGUAGAGGUGAAACUGUUCAAGAAGCCAAAAGAGGUAUUGGAGGUUCAGCAGUUUUCGUUGCUCGAAAUAGAUUUGCUGUGCUUGAGAAGAGCAGCAACCAAGUGGCGGUCAAGAAUCUUAAGAAUGAUACUGUGAAGAAGAGUCCUCUUCCUAUUGCUACAGAUGCAAUUUUUUAUGCAGGCACAGGAAACUUGCUGUGUAGGGCAGAGGACCGAGUUGUCAUUUUUGACCUCCAACAGCGCUUGGUACUUGGGGAACUUCAGACUUCUUUCAUCAGGUAUGUAGUCUGGUCACAGGACAUGGAAAGCGUUGCUUUGCUCAGCAAGCACUCAAUAGUCAUAGCUGAUAAGAAACUUGUUCAUCGGUGUACUCUUCACGAGACAAUCCGUGUCAAGAGUGGAGCUUGGGAUGAUAAUGGUGUUUUCAUAUACACGACACUAACGCACAUCAAGUAUUGCCUUCCUAAUGGGGACAGUGGAAUUAUUAAAACCCUGGAUGUCCCUAUAUACAUCACUAAAAUAUAUGGCAAUACAAUCUUUUGCCUGGAUCGAGAAGGCAAAAAUCGUCCUAUUAUUAUUGAUUCAACCGAGUACAUUUUUAAGCUGUCUCUGCUAAGGAAGAGAUAUGACCAGGUCAUGAGUAUGAUUAGGAACUCAGAACUCUGUGGGCAAGCCAUGAUUGCUUAUUUGCAGCAGAAGGGAUUUCCAGAAGUUGCUCUGCAUUUUGUAAAGGAUGAGCGAACUCGAUUCAACUUGGCUCUCGAAAGUGGAAACAUCCAGAUAGCAGUUGCAUCUGCUAAAGAGAUUGAUGAGAAAGAUCACUGGUACAGGCUAGGGGUGGAGGCCCUUCGUCAGGGUAAUGCUGGCAUAGUUGAAUAUGCAUAUCAGAGGACGAAGAACUUCGAGAGGCUGUCAUUCCUUUAUUUGAUAACAGGGAAUUUGGAAAAGUUGUCCAAAAUGAUGAAAAUUGCUGAAGUUAAGAAUGAUGUUAUGGGCCAGUUCCAUGAUGCUUUGUACCUGGGUGAUAUCCAAGAACGUGUCAAGAUUUUGGAGAAUGCUGGUCAUUUGCCCCUUGCAUACAUCACAGCCUCAGUCCAUGGGCUUCAUGAUGUUGCCGAGCGUCUCGCUGCAGAUCUGGGAGAUAACGUCCCAACUUUGCCCAAGGGGAAAUCUGCUUCACUCUUGAUUCCCCCAAAACCUGUGUUAUGUGGUGGAGAUUGGCCCUUGUUGAUGGUCACGAGAGGGAUCUUUGAGGGUGGUCUUGAUAAUGCUGGGAAGGGUGCACAAGAGGACUAUGAAGAUGCCGCAGAUGCUGAUUGGGGCGAGGCUUUGGAUAUUGGUGAAGUUGAAAACAUCCAGAAUGGUGACAUCAGUAUGGUCUUGGAUGAAGAUGAAGUGCAGGAAGACAAUGAGGAGGGAGGAUGGGAUCUUGAGGAUCUGGAUCUGCCACCUGAUGCUGAUACGCCUAAGACUGCUUCAAAUGCACGUUCAUCUGUAUUCAUAACACCAACUAAUGGAAUGCCUGUUAGCCAGAUUUGGGUUCAGAAAUCAUCCAUUGCCGCAGAACAUGCUGCUGCUGGGAAUUUUGACACUGCAAUGCGGUUACUGAGCCGACAAUUAGGAAUAAGAAAUUUUGCUCCUUUGAAGCCAUUGUUUAUUGAUCUUCAGUCAGGCAGUCAUACUUAUCUGCGU